rnacentral:lncRNA from 1 species
UUGCUGACAGAUCGAGGCGGGCUGAGUGCGCGAGCGGCCGGGGAGUAUUCCCGCGGGUCCUCCGGUUCCCUCCCCACCUCUCCGUUCCCGAAGCCCCCGGUAGUGGGCGGGGAGGGACGGGGGAGUCGUGGAAACUUCGCCCACCGCGCGCGGUCGCCGCGGUGCUGGCCGCGGGCUGGUGGCCGGCAGGCGGUGGCAGCAGCCUCACCGAACAGCUGAAACCCUAGACGGUUUUUUAACUGCGCGGGGCUGCUCGCGGUGCCUAUUAAACAUCCUCCUGGCUGGGUGUCAUUUUCUUGCUUCUCCUUUUGUAUUCUGAUCUGCGCAUAGAUCUGCUGCUGCUGAAAUCUAGAACACCAGCGCGAAAACAGAUUUGAAGACAAUGAAUGCAAAUCUGUGCUCAAAGACCAUCUGCCGUGGAGGAGACAAUCAGCUGUUCGUAGUUCGAGCGAUUGCGCCCCAGUCUCCCGGUCUCAUUACGGGGAGGGCAUUUGCGAGCGCCUGGACUGCGUUCAGGGCACUUUCUCCCCUCUUGGGUCUCAGAUUUGAGAGACCAGAUCCCUUAGGUGUAGGUGAGCGCUCGCAAAUGAACUGCUAGAGUUUGCCGCUAGAGGACACAGCGCCUUGCAACUGGUUUGCCUAGGCUGACAGGAAGCUUGCACUUCAAGAAAACUCGGCUCUCUCGAGAAAGGGACCGGUUUUACGGAGAAUUUCGGUCCCAGCAAAAACUGAUCACCUGGAGUCUUCUACGGUCUCUCUUUAUAAAUCUCUCCGAACCUCAAGCAACUCCCCCCCACCCCCUUCGUCUGGGGUCUGCGCCCAGCGGGGCCAAAGCCUUGAGUUCCUUGGCAGAGAGUGUGGAACAGCCGUGAGCCCUUCAAGACAUGCCUAUGAGCCCGGUGAUUUUUUUUUCAAGGGGGCUUUGAUCAGCUGUACCUCCACGUUGCCCCGGAAAGGUGCGCAGGGCACCCGGAGAGGCCUCUGGUCAGCAGUGGGCCUGGGCCAAGCCCCAACAGUUUACCCCUCAGGCUCAGGUUGGCUGGGGUUAAAGGGCAAAGUCAGGGUCGAGGGCACCAGCUUUUCUCGGCGGUAACAGCUGCCACCCAAAUUAUGCCCCCUCAGGAAGCGAAUGAAUUGUUCCUUUCUCCCAGCUCCCUGCUGCCCGCCCCAAAACAGACGGGGCCGCGCUCGGCGGGCGCCCCUCCUCCCAGCCAACCCCCCGAGACGCGCUCAGGGGCCUCGGUGCCCCGCUGGGAGGCAAUUUGGGGGAGCCGUGGUCCCGAACUUUGACAGAGUGGGGCUUCCCCACUACUUGCCGGCUGCGCUAAGGGCGCCCCCCGCGGCAGUGCUGCUGGGAGCUCCAGGGAUGGCUGUGUGGCUCGCUGCGGGCGUUGAAGUUCCCUGUUGGCCAGGCUGAAGUGCCUGCGCGAGCGUGAGGGGACAAGGACUGCCUUGGGCCCAGCGUGGCGGCGUUUCGGCCAACCCAGUUGGGGUUAAUUGCGUCUGUAUAGGUUUUGGGUAGGAAUGCUCGCGGAGUCCGCCACCCGCGCGAAACAUGCGUUGGUUGGGGGAAUGAGCAGCGGCGGCUGCGCCUGGAGGGUUGCUCCCACCUCUGUCGCCUCCAGCUACCCCCAAACAAACCUCCUUUUCGAUCUCGUGCAACACAAAACCUGCCCCGAGCUGUGCGGGGGCCUGGCAAGCGCAGCUGCGGCCCCGGGAAGCCCAAUCCCGCGGGACUGCGGAGCCCACGCGCUCCUCAGGCUCCGGCCAACUAGCUCGGUUCUGCCUCUAGCCCGGGUCAAGAAAAAUCCAAAAUGAACACUAUGAUUAAAAUUAUUCACAAUCUAUUUAUACAAAACUGGGGGUGUCUGUCUUUUACCCUGUCCCCUUCUUCAUUUAC